rfam:Atta colombica isolate Treedump-2 unplaced genomic scaffold scaffold143, whole genome shotgun sequence.
AUCGCUUCUCGGCUCUCUGAGCUAAGAUCAAAGUGUAGUAUCUGUUCUUAUCAGCUUAAUAUCUGAUACAGUCCCCAUAGGGGGCUCAGUAUAUUAAUCUAUUUUUUGGGACCAGGCGGGUGCUCGGAGCUUGCUCCGACCUUGCCACGGGUCGACCCUGCAUUGCAUUGCAGCAGGGUACGGCCCAGCAGAG